rnacentral:rRNA from 1 species
UACAGAGGUCUCAAGCGUUGUUUCGGAUUCAUUGGGCGUAAAGGGUGCGUAGGCGGCGCGGUAAGUCGGGUGUGAAAUCUCGGGGCUUAACUCCGAAACUGCAUUCGAUACUGCCGUGCUUGAGGACUGGAGAGGAGACUGGAAUUUACGGUGUAGCGGUGAAAUGCGUAGAUAUCGUAAGGAAGACCAGUGGCGAAGGCGGGUCUCUGGACAGUUCCUGACGCUGAGGCACGAAGGUCAGGGGAGCAAACGGGG